CCUACGGGAGGCAGCAGUAGGGAAUAUUGGGCAAUGGGGGAAACUCUGACCCAGCAACGCCGCGUGGAUGAUGAAGGUCUUCGGAUUGUAAAGUUCUUUUGUAAGGGAAGAAGAAAGUGACGGUACCUUAGGAAUAAGCCUCGGCUAACUACGUACCAGCAGCCGCGGUAAUACGUAGGAGGCGAGCGUUAUGCGGAAUGACUGGGCGAAAAGGGGGCGUAGGGGGGUUGGCAAGUUAGGAGCGUAACCCCAAGGCUUAACCUUGGAACUACUACUAAAACUGUUGGACUUGAGUGCAGGAGGGGCAACUGGAAUUCCUAGUGUAGCGGUGGAAUGCGUAGAUAUUAGGAGGAACACUAGUGGCGAAGGCGGGUUGCUAGACUGUAACUGACACUGAGGCACGAAAGCGUGGGGAGCAAACAGGAUUAGAUACCCGUGUAGUC
rnacentral:rRNA from 1 species